rfam:Homo sapiens chromosome 2, GRCh38 reference primary assembly.
GCUGGGUGUGGUGGUGCGUGCCUGUAGUCCCAGCUACUUCGGAGGCUGAGGCAGGGCAAUCGUUUGAACCCAGGGGGCGGAGGUUGCAGUGAGCCGGGUUCGUGCCACUGCACUCCAGCCUGGGUGACAAAGCGAGACCCAGUCUCAA